GAAUAUUGCACAAUGGGCGCAAGCCUGAUGCAGCGACGCCGCGUGAGGGAUGACGGCCUUCGGGUUGUAAACCUCUUUCAGCAGGGACGAAGCGCAAGUGACGGUACCUGUAGAAGAAGGACCGGCCAACUACGUGCCAGCAGCCGCGGUAAUACGUAGGGUCCGAGCGUUGUCCGGAAUUACUGGGCGUAAAGAGCUCGUAGGUGGUUUGUCGCGUUGUCCGUGAAAACUCACAGCUCAACUGUGGGCGUGCGGGCGAUACGGGCAGACUUGAGUACUGCAGGGGAGACUGGAAUUCCUGGUGUAGCGGUGGAAUGCGCAGAUAUCAGGAGGAACACCGGUGGCGAAGGCGGGUCUCUGGGCAGUAACUGACGCUGAGGAGCGAAAGCGUGGGGAGCGAACAG
rnacentral:rRNA from 1 species